rnacentral:rRNA from 1 species
UAAACGAUGGACACUAGGUGUGGGAGAAUACGUCUUCCGUGCCGCAGCUAACGCAUUAAGUGUCCCGCCUGGGGAGUACGGCCGCAAGGCUAAAACUCAAAGGAAUUGACGGGGACCCGCACAAGCAGCGGAGCAUGUGGUUUAAUUCGAAGCAACGCGAAGAACCUUACCAGGGCUUGACAUGUAGGUGAAGCGGCGGAAACGUCGUGGCCGAAAGGAGCCUACACAGGUGGUGCAUGGCUGUCGUCAG